rnacentral:lncRNA from 1 species
CUGUAGUGUCAUGUUAGAUGAUUGUCAUUAUUGUCUCUUCUUUUCGAUAAAUGUCAUCUCUGUAGGGCUUCUGACUAAACUUGAUUACAAGUUUAUAUUAAAGGAUGAUUUUUGUGAUAUCAUUAUGAAUGAUACUACAAUUAUGCAUGGACAAUUAAAAUAUGGCAUAUACAUAAUAUCGCAGCCUGUUAGUAUAAUGUACACACCC